CCGCGGAGCUGUCGGAGGGCUCAGGCUGAAGGGAGCUGGCGCCGGUGGCGCGGGACGGGACGGGGGCUUCGGGUUGCCGCCGCCGCCGGAGCGCUUUGGGUUUGGGCCACGGUCGACGCUUGGCCCCGGAUUAUGGCAUCGCCUGGCCGCCGGCGCGCUUCGGUGCCCAUGGAAUUCACUUGAAUCGGGGCCGGUGGAAGGACGGCGAGACGGACGGCCGCUUUGUGUGAGAACCUGCGGAGCUUGGAAAGGCUGAUCCUCCCUCUUCCUCUUUCUUCGUCCCUUCUUUCCACGCCUGGCCUCCCUCCGGAGGCGGCGGCGAGACAAACCUCCCGGGGAACCGAACCUCCUUGGGCGCCGGGAGCCUCUCCAGAGCGCACGGUGCCAAACGAUUCUUUUGCGCCCUGGGCGCACAUGGUUCCCUUUGUCCUACUGGCUGGGAUCUCCCGGCGCGGUCCCUGAUUUCGAUCCUCGCCCCUCCCCUUUAUUAGCCGCCUCUCCUUCUCUUGCGCUCCCCUUCCCCAACCCGUCGCAGGACCCCGCGAUUAAGUCUCUCGCCCCGCCGCCGUUUCUUUCCCGGAAUGGCCGAGCGCGCUGGGAUCCCACCUGGGAAGGACUCGCCUUUGGACGGAAUAGUUUGCUUUUGCUUUUGGGAAUAAGUGCUUCUUCCUGGAACCAGAUCGGAGUUGGACCAAGAUUCCCUGACACUCUCUUUUUUUUCCCCGGCCUCCCUUCCCAGACAUGAACUUGCCGGCUGUCACUUGGGUUGUUUAACCCGCUGGACGAUCAGGCCUCUGAUGCCAGCUCAGAAAAGUUGUUCAACACAGUCACAAACAAAGAUCCAGACUUAGGAGUUGUUACGCUAACAGAAAAUGAAGAUCAAGAGGCCAGGUCUUUGGCACUCCCCAAAAUAUCAGGAUUAGAACGGAGCCAAGAGAAGAGUCAGGACGGUGGGAAAGAGCCAUCGCUUGAGCCUGUUGUGCCUCAGGAUCUUUGUCCUCAAGUUCCUCAGCCUUUGGUCCCACCUCGUUUGGUGCCACCAACAGAGGCACGUUCUCCAGAGCCUCCUGCUGUCCACCCUGCCGGCUCCUCCUAUUCGGAAGCCCCAGAGAAGCAACCUGCUUUGGAAGAGGCCCAGUUUCCCACCCUUCCUCCUUCCCAAAUACAACAUCCACCGAGGCCUCCCUCUCCUGGGCAGCCGGCCCAUCCGAACCGACCACCUUCUCAGCUGCGUCCUCCCUCCCGUAGCCUUGCACAACAGUUGUCGGCUUACAACAGCAG